rnacentral:rRNA from 1 species
CCCUUAGAUGUUCUGGGCCGCACGCGCGCUACACUGAAGGAAUCAGCGUGGCUCUGUCCCUGGUCCGAAAGGAUUGGGAAACCCGUUGAAUCUCCUUCGUGAUAGGGAUUGGGACUUGGAACUGUUCCCCAUGAACGAGGAAUUCCCAGUAAGCGCGAGUCAUAAGCUCGCGUUGAUUACGUCCCUGCCCUUUGUACACACCGCCCGUCGCUACUACCGAUUGAACGGUUUAGUGAGGGCAUCGGACUGGUCUCGGCCCGCCCUUCACCGGUGCGGCGCCGCCGGCCGGGAAGACGCUCGAACUUGAUCGUUUAGAGGAAGUAAAANUCGUAACA